UACUAGCCCUGAUUGUAGUGUAAAUCCUUUUUUUACCGUUUUUUUGCGGGAAAAAAGAUUGCAACGAAAAGCAGGAAAUAGC
rnacentral:sRNA from 1 species